rnacentral:rRNA from 1 species
GACGAACGCUGGCGGCGUGCUUAACACAUGCAAGUCGAACGGAAAGGCCCUGCUUUUGUGGGGUGCUCAAGUGGCGAACGGGUGAGUAACACGUGAGUAACCUGCCCUUGACUUUGGGAUAACUUCAGGAAACUGGGGCUAAUACCGGAUAGGAGCUCCUGCUGCAUGGUGGGGGUUGGAAAGUUUCGGCGGUUGGGGAUGGACUCGCGGCUUAUCAGCUUGUUGGUGGGGUAGUGGCUUACCAAGGCUUUGACGGGUAGCCGGCCGGAGAGGGUGACCGGCCACAUUGGGACUGCGAUACGGCCCAGACUCCUACGGGAGGCAGCAGUGGGGAAUAUUGCACAAUGGGCGGAAGCCUGAUGCAGCAACGCCGCGUGCGGGAUGACGGCCUUCGGGUUGUAAACCGCUUGCGCCUGUGACGAAGCGUGAGUGACGGUAAUGGGUAAAGAAGCACCGGCUAACUACGUG